rnacentral:rRNA from 1 species
GUGAAUGGCUUGGCUCGCACUCCCGAUGAAGGGCAUGGCAAGCUGUGAAAAGCCCCGGGUAGGCGCAUGCAGCCUAGGAUCCGGGGAUGCCUGAAUAAACCGCAACCGCGGUUGGGAACGCGGGGAAUUGAAACAUCUUAGUACCCGCAGGAAAAGAAAACAAACAAGUGAUCCAGUAAGUAGGGGCGACCGAAAGCUGGUUAGGGCAAACUGAAUCCCGAUGUGAUGAGUGUUGGGAGAUGUGGAGUGAAUCGACCCGUCCAAAAACCCAAGCAGUGUUAGGGGAAUUCCACUGGAACGUGGAGCUAUAGAGGGUGAAAGCCCCGUACCCAAAGCAUUGAUGGGUUGGAUGGUGUUCGCGAGUAGCGUGCAUUGGAUUUUGCGCGCCAAUUGGCUGUCAUUAACAGCCAACCCUAAAAAGACGGCGAGACCGAUAGCGCACUAGUACCGUGAGGGAAAGCUGAAAAGGAUCCUUAACAGGAUGUGAAAAGAACCUGAAACAGUAUGGUGAAAGUUCGAUGCGGCGAUUUUGUUGCAUCGUUCGUCCUGAAACAUGAGGCAGGGAGUGUAUGUAUGUGGUGAGGCGUAAGCCGAAGGGAAACCAAAACUCCGCAACCCCCUUGUGGGGUGAGGGAGGUGGUGUCAGCCAUAAAUCACGUGCAUACUACCUGAAGCCAAAGCGAUCUAACCCUGGGCAAGGCGAAGUCCGCUGACAAGUGGAUGGAGGCCUGUUACCGAUGCUGAGCUCAACUCGUUCGGGUGACCUGGGGAUAGAGGUGAAAUGCUAAUCGCGCUUGGCAAUAGCAGGUUCCACUCGAAAUGGCCCGCAGGCCAGUCUAGCUGGAGACCGACUGUGGGGUAAAGCACUGAUUGGGUGGCCCGGAGAAGAGAUUCUUCACCAUCCUGUCAAACUCAGAACCCGCAGCCGUCAGAGAAGGCUGGAACCGGGGCGGGGGGGUAAGCCCCUCGUCCGAGAGGGAAACAGCCCUGAUUAUGGUUAAGGCCCCUAAAUACCGGCUGAGUGUAAAUAAAGGCGUCCCUGUUCUAAGACAGCGAGAAGGUUAGCUUAGAAGCAGCUAUCCUCUAAGGAGUGCGUAACAGCUCACUCGUUGAGGGCGGGGGCCCUGAAAAUGGACGGGACUAAGUCGGUUGCCGAUACCGUAAUGUAGAAGUCAAAGACUUUUAAUCACGUAGAGUGGUGUUUCACAGAAGUAGAAGCUUCUCCGUGAGGAGGGGUGGAUUCUGUGGGAAUAAGAAUCCUGCCAGUAGUAACAGCAAAGUUGGGUGAGAAUCCCAACCACCUGAAGGGCCAGGGUUCCUCAACAAUGUUCUUCAGUUGAGGGUUAGCCGAUCCUAAGAGAACCGUAAUCCGGGUAAUCGAAAGGGAAACAGGUUAAUAUUCCUGUGCCACAUGACUGUCUGGCAACAAAGUACCGUCUAUCCAACGCUUCCGGGUAGCCUUAGUGUCGCUGCCGCGGCAUUUAAGCUGAAUACAACCGGGGAGUACCGUAAUGGUGAGAACCGGUUGAAUCAGUUAACAGCCUCCUAUAUAGGGGGUUAAGGUAAUCCCAGGAGCCCGUGAAAAGGAUGACGGUUUACACGUCAUGUGAUCGUACCGAGAACUGACACUGGUGCCCCUAGCUGAGAAGGCUCAGGUGUUGCGAGGAGAACUCUGCUUAGGGAAUUCGGCAAUUUAGCCCCGUGGCUUCGGUCUAAGGGGUGCCUACCUCGUAAGGGGUAGGUCUCAGUAACAAGGGGGGUCCGACUGUUUAAUAAAAACGUAGGUCCCCGCAAAGUCGUAAGGCUGUGUAUGGGGGCUGAUACCUGCCCAGUGCCGGCAUCUCAAACUCCGGUUCAACGGAGCGAAGGACCGGUAAACGGCGGGGGUAACCAUGACCCUCUUAAGGUAGCGUAAUACCUUACCGCUUAAUUGGCGGCUUGCACGAAGGUUUAACGAGAUUCCCCACUGUCCCAAGCAGAGGCUCGGUGAACCUACUUUCCUGGUGUACAAGCCAGGGACUUCCAGCGGGACGCGAAGACCCCGUGGAGCUUUACUGCAACUUGUAGUUGGGUUGCAGUCGCUGUUGCGCAGUGUAGGUGGGAGGCGUUUGAGCCGUCGGUUCCGGCCGGCGGUUAGCCAUCGAUGAGACACCACCCUUCAGCGACCGCACCCCUAAUCCAAAAGGCUUCUUUUGGAGACACCUGCAGGUGGGCAGUUCGGGUGGGGCGCCACACCGUUGAAACGAUAUCGACGGUAUCUAAUGGUUGGCUCAGCCGGGACAGAAAUCCGGCGUAGAGGACAAGACCAAAAGCCAGCCUGACCGGCAUUCCAAACAACACGGAAUCCGGCGACGAAAGUCUAGUCUAGCGAACCCCGAAGUCCUCAUUAAUGGGGGCUCGGGCUGUUGGAAAAGCUACCCCGGGGAUAACUGAGUUGUCGCGGGCAAGAGUACACAUCGACCCCGCGGCUUGCUACUUCGCUGUCGGCUCAUUCCAUCCUGGCGGUGCAGAAGCCGCCAAGGGUGGGGUUGUUCGCCCAUUAAAGGGAUACGUGAGCUGGGUUUAGAACGUCGCGAGACAGUUUGGCGGCAUCUACUGGAAGUGUUGAGUGUCUGAGGGGAAGGAUCCUUUAGUACGAGAGGAACAAGGGACCGGCGCCUCUGGUGUACCAGUUGUCUGGCAAGGCAUCGCUGGGUAGCUACGCGCUAAACGGUAAAUGCUGAAAGCAUCUAAGCAUGAAACGCCCCCCGAAAAAGAGACACUCCUGUUGGCU